rnacentral:misc_RNA from 1 species
GGUAGAAGAGUUUGAAGAAGAAACAGUCCUACAGAAAAUAGGAUUCAUACUUAAAAGAAUUUUUCUAGGUUGAUCUUUUGAGUUAAGUGAGGUAAUCGCCAAAGGAAUCACUGUUCUAAACACGCCUUCACUCGGCUUUCAAAGACGGGACUUACAACUCAGGCCUGUUUACACCUCUCAAGAAACUGUCUUAUCACCUUAAGAUCAUUUUACUAACCUCUCAAAAAUGUUUAAAUGUGAAUCCAAAUCUUAAAUAGAACCUUUCCCCCUUAGGCUUUGAUACCAAGGACGCACCGGGUAUGUGUGUGUGUCUAUAUAUAUAUGUGUGUUUUGUGUAUGUAUAUUUGGAUGAUGAACAAAGUUGAAAAUGUUAAAGGGAAAUUUCUAUUUUUUAAUAGAAAAAAAAAAUCAAGAAAAGCUCUCAAAAAAAGACCCAUUUGAUACUCGUAUAGCCC